UCUCUCUUCCAAAGAUUUCUGGCCCUUCCAACAGGGCUAGCCCAGGCCAACUAGUGAAUCUCACCUGCACCUCAACUGGCUUCUUUGCCGAAAACAUAUAUGUGAAAUGGCUCAAAAAUGGCAUAGAGCUUCCAGCCUUUCAGACCCAGGUCUUCCCGCAUGCAGAUGCUUCCUCCUACACCGUCAUCAGCACUGCUACAGUGACCCUUGGCUUCUCCUCACUCCACUCCCAGGUCACCUGCCAAGUGGCUCACAGUGAAUUGCAGAGUCCCCUCAGAGGGCACGUGAACAUCUCCCAAUUUCUCCAAGGUACCCCUGUGUGCAACUCCUUCCUGCUCCUUUGCUGGAACUUUCUGCCAUCUGUGUCCUUAGGAGGAGCCUUUCUUCCAGGAGGACUGGACUUAGAGGAGGACCUGCCAUGAUGUCUGUAGCUGCUCCCUCAGCUUCUCUUGCCUCAUCAGCCUUCUGAGACCUGAACAGCACUGGCCAUCCCUCCCUGUCUCCUGCAGCCACCAGAGGAAGGGAGCACCUAGACUGGAAAGGUCAACAGUGAGAGGGAGAUUCUCAUGCCUUACCCAGGAAUGAAUUUUCUGUGGCAAGUCUGACCUCAGAGUCCAUGAUACUGACCAGGAAACCCAGCAGAGGCAGGAUAGGCUCCAACCCUGAGGAAAAUAGAUGCCUGCAUUUCUGAUGGCUCCUUCCUGGCUCAUCAAGGAAAGCCCAUUGCUCUGCCAUGAAACCCAAGCUCUGCCAUGAAACCUCUA
rnacentral:lncRNA from 1 species